ACGGAGAACAUACAGAACACCGUCCCCGUCAAUUAUCCUCACAAUACCUGUAUACACAUCUUAGUUUGUUAGUUACUUAUUUUAUAUUACUUAUGAAUACAAUCAAUAUAGAAUGUGGUGUAGAGAGACUGCUAAACCACAGGCAUUAAGCACGGCAAGAAAAGGGCACGGCAAAGGCAGGCAAGAAAACAGGACAGGAAGAGGAAUCAGCAAGGCAUGGGAGGCACAGGCAAGGGCAUAGUAGGCAGGCACCACAAAAGGCAUAGGAAGGGUAGGCAAAGGCAAGGUCAGUGCUGGUAAGGCAGGGGAACCUUAAUAGAAAAGCUGGCUAAAUUUUACAAUUGACUUUUCAAUAAUCGAAAACUUAAAUUACCUGGCUGCAUGGCUGCGCAGUUACCUAAACAUAAAAAACUUCUUUACCUUGCACAUGCGCAACAAGAAACCCUACACGUAUCCUCGAGAGUAACAGGGGAUUAAUUAUUUCAAACAUCUUAACAAACUAGCAAAAGAAAAGAACUGGUAACACAAUCCAAACAAAUAUCACAUUUUGGGAAAUACGAAAUAUCAAACAUUGUUUUCACAUUAGGCUUAGUACUACUUUAGUUAAACAAAGAUUAAUGUUUCUGACUAAAAGGAGUCUAAUAGAAUAGAAAAAUCAAAAAAAGAAAUUGAAAUACUUGGAUUUUUAUCGAAACAAUGGCUUUCCACAAUGGAAGGUCACUUGUUACGUGGGAUCCGCGUUGAUAAGUGCUAACGGAUCUCCACUAUCGGUUCACGACAAUGUACUUGUUGACUUUAACCUGGGGGGAAAUACCCUGUACCCACAGUGUGACCUUGGUGGAAGACCCUAGCACUAGGGUCAUUCUGGGCACGGAUAUGCUCAGGAAAAUGGAGGCGAGGAUUGACCUGGGACGAUGGGAGGUAGCAAUGGCAAAGGAGGAAGAAAAAGUCUUUAUUCCCCUUUUGGGAAGGAAGCCUUUAAAAAGACAUCAGGCCGAGGCGGUAAAGCGCCCCCUUUACAGACUAGGUCAUCAGCUAGUCCACAAAAAUCUCCCACGCUGACCAACGCGCACCGGUUAAGCAAAGAAAUAUACCGGAGUAUUGCGACGUGCUGUUGCCCGUCUCUAUAGUUUGUACCCAGGACAUCAUCUUGGAACAAUUGUCAGAGUCAGUACAGAAGAUUUCCUGCGAGGUACCAUUCUCGGAGGUAAUCUUUAGUCCAUCGGAGACGAUAGAGGACAAUCAGCUCUUGACAACACCUACAUUGUCGCAAAAAGGCCAGAAAGGAGUCUAUCUACACGUGGUAAACCCCACGAAAGACAGAGUGAUUCUACCAGCUCGAGCAGUAAUAGGUCAAGCGGAGUCUCUUCCCAGGGUGUGCAGCCCUAACCUUCCUAGCACAGAAACCAACAUACAAUUUGAUGAACAUGUCCUAGGCGACAAGUGGUCUCCGCAUCAGCUUCUCCAGUUAAAGCGGCUCUUAGAGGCGAAUAGGGAUCUGUUCGGACAGACCACGGCAGAUUUGAGUAUCACAACAAGCGUUCAGCAUUAUAUUGACGUUGGAGACUCGGCUCCUAUGAGGCAACGGCCUUGUAGGUUGACUAUGUCACAAAAAGAGACUCUUGAUCACGAGUUAGAUGACAUGUUGUACAAUGGGAUUAUUGAGGAGAGUGUGUCCCCAUGGAGUAGCUUGUGUAUUAUGGUACCGAAGAAGGACGGCUCUGUAAGGCUAUGUGUUGACUUCCGAAAGUUAAAUAAAAAGACUGUAAAAGAUAGUUCCCCCUGCCAAGGAUCGAUGAAGUUAUUGAUUCUCUGCACUGUGCAAAAGUAUUCUCGACUUUAGAUUUAUUUAAAGGCUAUUGGCAAAUUGAACUAGAAGAAGGCUCAAAGGAAAAAACGGCUUUUGCUACUCACCGCGGCUUAUACCAGUUUUGCGUGCUACCAUUUGGUCUUACGAACGCGCCGGGUUCUUUUCAACGUUUAGUUCAACACGUAUUACGCGACCUUAUCGGGAAGAUUUGUUUUGUUUAUAUCGACGACAUAGUAAUGUUCUCGCGGAAUUUUGAUGAGCAUCUACGUCAUUUACAGAUAGUGUUUGAUGCAUUACGACGAGCGAAAUUGCGGUUGAAAUUAAAAAAGUGCAAGUUUGCCUCUACACACGUCGAAUAUGUAGGAUAUACUCUUUCUGCCGAAGGCGUUGGCCUGGAUCCAAGAAACAUCAAAGCAGUUGCCACAUAUCCUGUACCUAAGAGAACGAAGGGCGUUCGCGCGUUUUUGGGCUUAUGCCUAUACUAUAGGAAGUUUGUCGACAAUUUUUCAAAGCUGGCAAAACCACUACAUUAUUUGCUAAAACAGGAUAUAAAUUCCAUGUGGGGAGAACAACAACAAAAAUGCUUUGAUGAACUGAAGACAAAAUUGACCAGUGCACCUAUUUUGGCAUUCCCCGAUUUCACAAAAUCUUUUGUCUUAUUUACUGCUCGGCGACGUUAAGGUGCAUUCUGAAUGCCACGGUAUUUUGAACUCGCCUGCUACAAUUUUACACUAUGGCUAGUAAUGUUGUUACGCGCUAUCUGGUCCGCGUUUUUCAACUAAAAUAGUCAUGUUGCGCGGCCUCCUGGCAUUUUUGAAUUUGAUAUAAAGCUUUGCCCUGACAGUCAUCAUUGUUGAUUGUUGGUUCACAUUUAAAGAUUUAAAGAGGGGAAAAGAGUUAUACAAACAAAUAAAUGGUGAUGAGAUAUUGGUAGCAUUCUUAUAAAUUGGUGAUAAUUGAUGCAGGGGAGUAUUUAAAUUGGUUGCAGAAACAGCAUGUGGUGUUGAAGCAACUUGUGGCGGAAAUAAGGAGUGUUGACGAUUGAUAAUGAUGAAGAAUCAAGGAACUGUCACCAGUGUUGGCUGUAAGACCAGAAACAAGACGUAGCUGUGUGCCAGAAUGUCUGAUAAUUGAAUAGUAAUACACACCAAAAAAUUUCCUCUGUGUCAGUGAUGUUAAUUUACCACGGAUAUGGAGUUUUAUCAACAUGGCGUGGUGGUGUGUUGCAAUUAUCAAAUGCAGAAUACUUGGCAUACUUCUUCUAUUUGCUGGCAAGUACAAUAUUUCCUGGAUCUUUGAAAGUGAGAUCAGCAGUUUCAAUGCAAAGUGGCCUAAUAACAAGAAAAGACUAGUUUAUACAUUGGUGUAAGUUAUAUUUGUUAUGUUUAUUUUGGUCCCAUAUUCAGGUGCAACUAAAUCUUCAGAUAAUAAUACUGUAGCCCUAAUUUAGAAAUAUAGUAAAUAUUUACCUUCUAAAUUUUUUAAUGCUCAAUUUGUUACGAUCAGCAGGCUUCUUCUGUAAUCAGAGGCAUUUUUUGAUU